UAGUGUGAUUGUUCUUACAAUUUAUAAACCUGUUGCUUCCAACCAUGUUUAGAAUGGAAGAAACCUUUUGAAAGAGAGGUGAAACUUCUAUUAGAAACAAGAGAAGAAGUCCAGUUGCCUUUAACUUAAGCACUUAGGAUGGCUAGCAGCAGUCAUUCAAUAAAUUAGAAUGUGUCGGGGUCUGGGAAACUUGUUGCCUGCUGCUUACUGUGCUUACUCACCAGAUGGCGGCGGAGCUCCUUGUGGAGGUGUGCAACAGGUGUCGCUCAUUAUCAAUCAGGUCCUGAGGUUUAAAAGGAGCGAGCAGCAAGCACUUUGUUGCCUGAGUGUUUGCUAGUAGUGGUAACUUACUGGCCAAGUUAAGCUUGCUUUAAAUACUGAGUUUUUGUCUCCCAAGAACUUACCUUUUGUCUAUGCCCUUCCACAUGUCUUCCGGACCUCCAGGCUCCAGUCUUGGUGUUGUUCCUCUGGCAGAUCCCAAGUAUUCCUGACUUCAAGCUCCCUCGCUUACUAAGGUCCAGCUGGCUGACUCCAAGCUCCAAACCUCCAAACAACCUGCAUGCGAACAUAAUCCACCCUCCAACAGGAUUUCAACUCCUACCUGCACAACAGACAUCCGGCAACCUCCCAGGCUCCGCUUCAUCUUUUCCCCCCUCUGAAGACUUCCUUCAGCUCCACUCCGUAAGCAAACAAGACGUUCAAACUUCUAAAUUCACCUCUGAACCCCUCAUCCACUUACCUGUUCUCCCUCUCCAUGCAGCUGGUGUGCUUCCAGUCCUGGGUCUGUUAUCUGUUAAAGGAAAAUAAACUGUUAAACCUU